rnacentral:ncRNA from 1 species
UCGAAAAGGGCAAAUCUAGUGAAAGCUGGAGACGCAAAGUUACCGGUCUAAGGGGAAACCUAAGAUAGCGGAACUGCCAA